UACGUAGGGUGCAAGCGUUAAUCGGAAUUACUGGGCGUAAAGCGUGCGCAGGCGGUGAUGUAAGACAGUUGUGAAAUCCCCGGGCCCAACCUGGGAACUGCAUCUGUGACUGCAUCGCUGGAGUGCGGCAGAGGGGGGUGGAAUUCCGCGUGUAGCAGUGAAAUGCGUAGAUAUGCGGAGGAACACCGAUGGCGAAGGCAAUCCCCUGGGCCUGCACUGACGCUCAUGCACGAAAGCGUGGGGAGCAAACAGG
rnacentral:rRNA from 1 species